AGGAAGGGGGCACCCGGCCGCGGAAGUCACGUGAUCUGACGAAGCUCCCUCUGCCCACCCAGCCCGCUGCGCUGGCCUUUCUCUCCUCCGCGUGACACAGCCCUGCCGGAGGCCCGGAAGCCAGACCUGCCACCACUUCUGGACACUGGGCUGGCUUCUGCGAAGCCGGGUCCUGACCUCUCAGCCGGCCUCCAGCCCCACCCAGAGCUUGCUGGAAACGAGCUUCCUGGAAGCCCCAGGCACGGGGCCACACAGCCCGCUGACACCCUGCCAGGCUGCUGCAGGACCCUUGGCUGCCGCCGAAGGGCCCGGGGGAAGUGUCACGGUGUCGGUGCCCUCCCCCCACCCCUUCCUGCAGAGGACAGCAGCUCCCCGUGCCCACAGGCUGUGCAGGAGCUCAGGCCCGCGUUCCUGUGGGCAGGGAGUGCACUGCGUCCCCGAGACCGGCCGCCACCCACCACACAGCGGAGGGGACCCCUGCCGACAUCCUCGCAUCAUCCCGUGACAUCAGAGAAAACUGGCAGAGACAGAAGAGAGAGCUCCGUCCGCCCUCCAACCAGCACCCCUCGUGGGAGCACCCUUCCUCCCAGGGCGCGUCUGUCACAGUGAUGUGGCCGCGCCUGACAAGCGUGACCAUCCUGUCUCCGUGGUGUCCUCGGCUCUGCCCCAGUCCCUCGGGUUUUCCUUGCUACCUUCUCAGCAAAUCUGAGUGACUUUUCACUUAAUAAAAUGUCAUUUAGCAUUUUU